rnacentral:lncRNA from 1 species
UUAUGAGAAAUUAUGAUUUUGAUCAUGGCCAUGAAUGAUUUAGAUGGUCAAGGCCAACUGUACAUUAUGUACUAUUGGGAUUACAAUGAACACUGCGCCUUGUUUAGGACCCCAGUCACCGGGACCGAGAAUCACAAAUGGACACAGUAUGUCUGGAACAGUCGCGUUGGAAAUUCGCCUGUAUGUGACAAUGCCUUCGAGAAAGUUGAAUAUAGCAGUUACUGGAUUUACAAAAGUGACUGCUUAUCAAAGCGGUAGACGUUUCUGUCAGUCUAUGUGAGUGUUCAUUUCAACGCAUGAAAGAAAUAAACCAGAUUCGGUGGAUAA